rnacentral:tRNA from 1 species
UGGGGUGUCGUCAAGCGGUAAGACACGGGCCUUUGGAGNNAGGUUCGAAUCCUCCCACCCCAG